UGGGGAAUUUUGGACAAUGGGCGAAAGCCUGAUCCAGCAAUGCCGCGUGUGCGAAGAAGGCCUUCGGGUUGUAAAGCACUUUUGUCCGGAAAGAAAUCCUUGGCUCUAAUACAGUCGGGGGAUGACGGUACCGGAAGAAUAAGCACCGGCUAACUACGUGCCAGCAGCCGCGGUAAUACGUAGGGUGCAAGCGUUAAUCGGAAUUACUGGGCGUAAAGCGUGCGCAGGCGGUUUGCUAAGACCGAUGUGAAAUCCCCGGGCUCAACCUGGGAACUGCAUUGGUGACUGGCAGGCUAGAGUAUGGCAGAGGGGGGUAGAAUUCCACGUGUAGCAGUGAAAUGCGUAGAGAUGUGGAGGAAUACCGAUGGCGAAGGCAGCCCCCUGGGCCAAUACUGACGCUCAUGCACGAAAGCGUGGGGAGCAAACAGGAUUAGAUACCCUGGUAGUCCACGCCCUAAACGAUGUCAACUAGUUGUUGGGGAUUCAUUUCCUUAGUAACGUAGCUAACGCGUGAAGUUGACCGCCUGGGGAGUACGGUCGCAAGAUUAAAACUCAAAGGAAUUGACGGGGUCAUAGCUG
rnacentral:rRNA from 1 species